CGGUACCUCACCGCCGACUAGCGCCUAGCGCCUUCUACAACAUUGAAUCCUCCAACGGGAUUCGUGUUUGAAAAGCAACAAAUGCGAGGAUUAUAUUUCAAUCAAUCUCCCGCAAAGGAGGAACAACGAUUCAAUGAUUGCAACUGUUGAAUCAACAAAACUAGAUUAUGAAUGGAGGAACGACUGAACAAAACAUGUUGGAGCUGAUUCAUUCGCAUUGGCGAAGGGAUCCAGUUUGUGAGGUGCGGUGUCUUGGCGUUCCGACUGUCGACACGCGAACCCUCUGUCGCGUUCUACAAGUUUGUUCAGACAAUUUUGAUUCAUCACUUAGGUUCUGUAAGUAGAUUAAGUUAACUGUUUAAGUGAAGCAUUUAUGGUUAAUGUUAGUUGAAAUGAAAGGAGAAAACUGGUGGUAAGAUUCUUCUUAGGACUGGUGGUGUGUUGUAUCUUUUUCGGGGUAAACAUUAUGAUCCGCACAACAGGCCGAAAUACCAUGUGAUUCUGUGGAAGCCUGCAACUCCGGUUUACCCAAAGCUUAUACAAGAAUCACCAGAAGGGUUGACGAAAGAAGAAGCUGAUGAGCUGAGAAUGAAAGGGAAAAAACUUCCCCCGAUUUGUAAACUAGGUAAGAACGGUUGGAGAGUAGAAAUGUCUCACAACUGUAGAGGAUCCGGAGGUGGCGGAGGGCGCGUGGAGGUCGUGGUCGCUCUGGUGGUUCUGAUUUGAAAUGCUACCAGUGUGGUGACGUUGGCCAGUUUGCUCGUGAGUGCCGUGGUGGCGGUGGUGAUAGACGCCGCCGCCGCGGCCGUAGCCCAGUCAACAGGUACCGACGGAGUCCUAGCUACGGUCAGAGGUGUGAAUAAUACUGCACAUGAAGUUUUUAGAUGGGCUCGGCAUCCCUACUGAAGAUGUUCUGGUUGAUCAGUUUACUUCUUUGGGUCGCAUGCUCUACAAGGCUCCAUCUAAUGAAAAGUGGGGAGAACAUGAAGGGGAGUGGGAGCGGCAGCAAACUUACUACUGCAACGGAUGAUGACCUAGAAUUUGAUGUUCAUGAGGAAUCUUCAGAUAGUUUUCUACUCUGGAUAAACAAUGGAGAGACUCUAUGCCACUAAUGCGUCCGCGUUGAUGAAAUGAGUUGUUUGAAACGGGUCGUGUUAGUCGACCUAAAAUCAGUUAUUUUCAUGUUCGGGGAGCGUCAAGAAUUGCCGUCCCUUGUGUGGCAUUUGACUGAUUUUGUGUGUGAAUGCAUGAUUGAUACACGCAUUGAAGGGGGUGAAAAGAGAGGAUGUUCAACUGGCUACAAAAUUUGGGAUCAAAUAUGGGUAGAGAAUGGGUGAGGUGGAAAUCCAUGGUGAACCGGAAGAAGUGAUAGCAAACGUGGUGGAAGGAAGCAGGAUGUUAGGAAAGACUGUUGUGAAGGUGAAGAAGUUCGUGAUGAUUUAGAAAUGAAUGAUCGAGAAGUUGUUGCUAAAACGAGUCAUUAUGCUUAGUUUAAUAAGUUAGAAUCUGAAGAUGAUAUACUUGCCCUGAAACUUUCAUCGUUAGGAACCUUGACAUCGAAUGUGAGCUCUUUGUCCAAUGAAGAGUCGGGCAAUGUCUCCACUGUCAAUUCGCUUUCCGUUAGAGAUCCUACAUCAAGCUUUACGAUUCUCCACCAAAAUCAUCAACCGAAGAAGACGAUGAGCUAGCAAAAUUUCCUGCUUCUCGGAAGAAGAAAUUGAGGUUGCUGCAGAGAGGCCAGAUCCUAUGAUAUUUCUAUAAAGCAUGCGGAGUUUAUAUGCGUAGAAGACGAGGAAGUAGUCCGUGUAGGCCGGUCAAAACAGUCAGCGUGCUAAUGGAGGAGUUUUUUUGUUGCAGAUCUACCAAUUGGAUGGUGCUAGAGGUUGAAAUUCUGACUGUGAUGCCUAGCAAGUCAUUUUUUAUUCAGAUGGGAUCUGCAAAUUAUUAAUUUGACAUUGCUCAAAUUGGAGGUAGGAUAGUGGUGGAGAAGACGAAAGGAAAGAAGGCAGAGGUGGUGACGAGAGAGUACAACAUUAAUCUUGACAAACGGCUGCCUGGAUGGUAUAUUGUUUAUAGUGGUUGAUUAAAAUUUUCGAGUUCUGUAUUGGAUUUUUGAUAUUCUGAUGGCUUGAUUCACUCUUUUUGAUGUUCGAUUGCGUCUAAAGUUGUGAAAAUUUUAAAUCGCAGUUGCGAUUCUGUUAAAAUGUAGUUAUGUCUACUUGAUGUGU
rnacentral:lncRNA from 1 species